rnacentral:rRNA from 1 species
GCCUGGCCGUAACACAGCAACAUGCUCGCCAAAUAACUACGAGUGAAAACUUAAAAUUUAAAGGACUUGACGGUACUUCACACCCAACCUAGAGGAGCCUGUCUACUAACCGAUAACCCACGAUUAACCCAACCACUCCAAGCCACUCAGUCUAUAUACCGCCGUCGCCAGCCUACCUUGUAAGAGAAAAAGAGUACGCUAAACAGUCCCACACUAACACGACAGGUCAAGGUGUAACUUAUGAAGUGGACCAAGAUGGGCUACAUUAUCUAACACAGAUUAUACGGAUAAAACUGUGAAAUCAGUUUUUAAAGGAGGAUUUAGCAGUAAGCUGAGGACACCCUGCUCAACUGAAACCAAUGCAAUGAAGUGCGU